rnacentral:lncRNA from 1 species
AUGUCACCUUCCGCUCAGCUUGGCCUCCGCCUGGAAAAUGCAGAGAAAAUCAUCCACAGGCUGUUGGGCGGGAAGUCAUUGUGGGGGCAGGAAGAGGAGAGAGAGGGCCAGCCGGAGAAGUCCUCAGAGCCAGACCCAGGGCCCUCAGCACAGGCAGCCAAACCUGACUGUCCAGAAGAAAGGUCCAGAAAGAUGAGAGACCUGCAGCAGAAGGUGGCCCGGAGGCGCGCGGAGCGGCGGGCGCUGCGGUGUGAGCUGAGUGUGAAGGUGUUCGGGCACGAGCUGAGCUAUGUGAACUGCGGGGUGAUGGGGAGCCACGUGAAACGCCAGUCCUUGCACCUGGCCGAGCUGGCAGCCAAACUCCUGAAGGUACCUCCGGCUGGGCUCAGCCCCAGCCCGCUCUGCCGGCCCUGUGGGGUUUCCUUCAAUGUUUUGGGGGGAAAGUACUAAGGUACUUUCCAGACUUAUGACCGUGGUAUUUCGGGCCAGGCUGCCCAAGUUCAAAUCAUGGCCCCGCCUCUCACCUGCGGGGGAGCCAAUGCUUGUCAUGGCCUCGGUUUGUGCAUCUGUGAAAUGGGCACCAUAGCAUGACAAUAGUGAUAGUAACAAAAGCAGCAGCUACUUUAUGGGGCGGUUGUUCUAAAUGACCUAAUGCAGUAAAAAAAAAAAAAAAAAGAAAAGAAAAAGAAAAAAAAAAGAAAAAAGAAAAGAAAAAUGCAACCAAAUGUUUAGAAUGCACCUGGCAUGUGCUAAGUGCUCUGCAUCGUGCUCAGGGCUCACAUUCCUCCUUACCUGACUCACCCUGGAUCCCGGACCACUGACCCUUUUCCAUAGUAAACUAACUGGACUUGAACUCAGCUCCACCUGUUUCUACCUAUGUAGGUUUGGCCAGGUGAUCUCAUCUGUUUGUGGGCUCAGUU